rnacentral:rRNA from 1 species
GGGGCCUUCGAGUGAGGGCUUUGGGUCACCUCCCACCCGUGUUUAUUUUACCUUGUUGCUUCGGCGGGCCCGCCUUUACUGGCCGCCGGGGGGCUCACGCCCCCGGGCCCGCGCCCGCCGAAGACACCCCCGAACUCUGUCUGAAGAUUGAAGUCUGAGUGAAAAUAUAAAUUAUUUAAAACUUUCAACAACGGAUCUCUUGGUUCCGGCAUCGAUGAAGAACGCAGCGAAAUGCGAUACGUAAUGUGAAUUGCAAAUUCAGUGAAUCAUCGAGUCUUUGAACGCACAUUGCGCCCCCUGGUAUUCCGGGGGGCAUGCCUGUCCGAGCGUCAUUGCUGCCCUCAAGCCCGGCUUGUGUGUUGGGCCCCGUCCUCCGAUUCCGGGGGACGGGCCCGAAAGGCAGCGGCGGCACCGCGUCCGGUCCUCGAGCGUAUGGGGCUUUGUCACCCGCUCUGUAGGCCCGGCCGGCGCUUGCCGAUCAACCCAAAUUUUUAUCCAGGUUGACCUCGGAUCAGGUAGGGAUACCCGCUGAACUUAAGCAUAUCAAUAGGCCGAGAGAGAA